rnacentral:rRNA from 1 species
UACAGAGGGUGCAAACGUUGUUCGGAAUUACUGGGCGUAAAGCGCGUGUAGGCUGCUUGGAAAGUCGGAUGUGAAAGCCCUGGGCUUAACCCAGGAAGCGCAUUCGAUACUUCCAAGCUCGAGUCCUGGAGAGGGUGGCGGAAUUCUCGGUGUAGAGGUGAAAUUCGUAGAUAUCGAGAGGAACACCGGUGGCGAAGGCGGCUACCUGGACAGUGACUGACGCUGAGACGCGAAAGCGUGGGGAGCAAACAGG